rnacentral:rRNA from 1 species
AAUGAACGCUGGCGGCAUGCCUUACACAUGCAAGUCGAACGGCAGCACGGGUGCUUGCACCUGGUGGCGAGUGGCGAACGGGUGAGUAAUACAUCGGAACGUACCUUAUCGUGGGGGAUAACGCAGCGAAAGUUGCGCUAAUACCGCAUACGCCCUGAGGGGGAAAGCGGGGGACCGUAAGGCCUCGCGCGAUUAGAGCGGCCGAUGUCUGAUUAGCUUGUUGGUGAGGUAAAAGCUCACCAAGGCGAUGAUCAGUAGCUGGUCUGAGAGGACGAUCAGCCACACUGGGACUGAGACACGGCCCAGACUCCUACGGGAGGCAGCAGUGGGGAAUUUUGGACAAUGGGGGCAACCCUGAUCCAGCAAUGCCGCGUGAGUGAAGAAGGCCUUCGGGUUGUAAAGCUCUUUUGUCAGGGAAGAAACAGCAGCUCUAACACAGUCUGCGAAUGACGGUACCUGAAGAAUAAGCACCGGCUAACUACGUGCCAGCCGCCGCGGUAA